rnacentral:rRNA from 1 species
AGCCAUGCAUGUCUAAGUAUAAGCAAAUUAUACCGUGAAACUGCGAAUGGCUCAUUAAAUCAGUUAUCGUUUAUUUGAUAGUACCUUACUACAUGGAUAACCGUGGUAAUUCUAGAGCUAAUACAUGCUAAAAACCCCAACUUCGGGAGGGGUGUAUUUAUUAGAUAAAAAACCAAUGCCCUUCGGGGCUCUUUGGUGAUUCAUAGUAACUUAACGGAUCGCAUGGCCUUGCGCCGGCGACGGUUCAUUCAAAUUUCUGCCCUAUCAACUUUCGAUGGUAAGGUAUUGGCUUACCAUGGUUUCAACGGGUAACGGGGAAUUAGGGUUCGAUUCCGGAGAGGGAGCCUGAGAAACGGCUACCACAUCCAAGGAAGGCAGCAGGCGCGCAAAUUACCCAAUCCCGACACGGGGAGGUAGUGACAAUAAAUACUGAUACAGGGCUCUUUUGGGUCUUGUAAUCGGAAUGAGUACAAUUUAAACCCCUUAACGAGGAACAAUUGGAGGGCAAGUCUGGUGCCAGCAGCCGCGGUAAUUCCAGCUCCAAUAGCGUAUAUUAAAGUUGUUGCAGUUAAAAAGCUCGUAGUUGAACCUUGGGCCUGGCUGGCCGGUCCGCCUCACCGCGUGUACUGGUCCGGCCGGGCCUUUCCUUCUGGAGAACCCCAUGCCCUUCACUGGGUGUGCGGGGGAACCAGGACUUUUACUGUGAAAAAAUUAGAGUGUUCAAAGCAGGCCUUUGCUCGAAUACGUUAGCAUGGAAUAAUAGAAUAGGACGUGCGGUUCUAUUUUGUUGGUUUCUAGGACCGCCGUAAUGAUUAAUAGGGAUAGUCGGGGGCAUCAGUAUUCAAUUGUCAGAGGUGAAAUUCUUGGAUUUAUUGAAGACUAACUACUGCGAAAGCAUUUGCCAAGGAUGUUUUCAUUAAUCAGUGAACGAAAGUUAGGGGAUCGAAGACGAUCAGAUACCGUCGUAGUCUUAACCGUAAACUAUGCCGACUAGGGAUCGGGCGAUGUUUCUAUCUUGACUCGCUCGGCACCUUACGAGAAAUCAAAGUUUU